rnacentral:rRNA from 1 species
AACGAACGCUGGCGGCAUGCCUAACACAUGCAAGUCGAACGAAACCGUCGGGUCUAGGUGCGCACGGGGGCGUACGACCGGGGAACCUGCACGUAGGUAAGGAAUAACUCCCCGAAGGGGGUGCUAAUACAGGAUAAUGUCUUCGGACCAAAGAUUUUUCGCCGUGGGAUGGGGGCGUGUUGGAUUAGCUGGUUGGUAGUGUAAAAGCCUAGCAAGGAGACGAUGCAUAGCUGGUAUGAGAGGAUGCCCAGCAACACUUGGACUGAGACACGGCCUAGUAGCCUACGCAGCGCAGCAGUGUGGAAUAUUAUGCAAGGGGGGAAAGUGUGAUCCAGCAAUGUCGGGUGAGUCAUGAAGGCCUUAGGGUUGUAAAGCUCUUUUUCCCGGGAUGAUAAUGACAGUACCGGGAGAAUAAGCACCGGCUAACUCCGUG